AACACAAACCCCGGCGCUGAAUGCGUCAAGGAAUUUAAAAUUUGCUCUGAGCGCACCUGCAUGGCACCGGAGACGGUUUUCGUGCGGGUUGUGUUCUGACACAUAAUAUAGAAUGACUCUCGGCAACGGAUAUCUAGGCUCUUGCAUCGAUGAAGAACGUAGCGAAAUGCGAUACUUGGUGUGAAUUGCAGAAUCCCGUGAACCAUCGAGUCUUUGAACGCAAGUUGCGCCCGAUGCCAUUAGGUUGAGGGCACGCCUGCCUGGGCGUCACAUAUCGAAGCCUCUUGCCAAUUUUCCUAAUGAUAGGUAUUGUGCAGGGUGAAUGUUGGCCUCCCGUGAGCUCCAUCGUCUCAUGGUUGGUUGAAAAUCGAGACCUUGGUAGUUUGUGCCAUGAUAGAUGGUGGUUGUGUUACGCAUGAGCCCAAAAUAAUCAUGUGCUGCUCUAUCGAAUUUAGCCUCUUUUACCCACAUGUGUUUCUAAACGCUCGUGAUGAGACCUCAGGUCAGGCGGGGCUACCCGCUGAAUUUAAGCAUAUCAAUAAGCGGAGGAAAAGAAACUAACAAGGAUUCC
rnacentral:rRNA from 1 species